CAAGGACAAAAGGAGCCCCGCGCCG
rnacentral:piRNA from 1 species